rnacentral:rRNA from 1 species
UGAGUAACCUGCCCAUGACUCUGGGAUAAGCCUGGGAAACCGGGUCUAAUACCGGAUAUGACUGCCGGCCGCAUGGCCUGGUGGUGGAAAGCUUUAUUGCGGUUUUGGAUGGACUCGCGGCCUAUCAGCUUGUUGGCGGGGUAAUGGCCCACCAAGGCGACGACGGGUAGCCGGCCUGAGAGGGUGACCGGCCACACUGGGACUGAGACACGGCCCAGACUCCUACGGGAGGCAG